UCAUUUGGCACAUGCAAUUUGUUUUCUUUAAAAAACAAAUAAAAGAUAAAAAGAAAACCACUCAUAAAAAAAUUCAAACCCUAAAACAUUAUUUCAUUCUUUGAUUUUCACUGAAGGAGACUCAACGGCCUUGCACUCUGUGGGUGAUUUCAAACUAGGGUUUUUAACUGGAGCUUCUUUGACUUUUUGCAUGAUCAGUCAUCUCAUGGAGCGGACAGUGGGAUGCUUGGUUCAAUGAAGUUGACCAAAAAAUCUUUCUACAGAACUCAUCAACCUAUCCAGGGAAUGAUGGGUUCUUUAUUUUCUUUCUCCAUACAUUCUUUUGCUUAUUUUGUGUUUAUAUUUCUAUGAUCAAUGUGAUCUCUUCUCAGCUAUUCCCACGACUUGUGUGGGAUCUUGUAAACAUUUUGUUCUUUAUAAAUAAAAAUGUAUUACACGUA